UUGAGAGUUUGAUCCUGGCUCAGAUUGAACGCUGGCGGCAGGCCUAACACAUGCAAGUCGAGCGGUAACAGAGAGAAGCUUGCUUCUUUGCUGACGAGCGGCGGACGGGUGAGUAAUACUUGGGAACUUGCCUCUAGGCGGGGGACAACCACUGGAAACGGUGGCUAAUACCGCAUAAUGUCUACGGACCAAAGUGGGGGACCUUCGGGCCUCACACCUAGAGAUGGGCCCAAGCGGGAUUAGCUAGUUGGUGAGGUAAAGGCUCACCAAGGCGACGAUCCCUAGCUGUUCUGAGAGGAUGAUCAGCCACACUGGGACUGAGACACGGCCCAGACUCCUACGGGAGGCAGCAGUGGGGAAUAUUGCACAAUGGGCGCAAGCCUGAUGCAGCCAUGCCGCGUGUGUGAAGAAGGCCUUCGGGUUGUAAAGCACUUUCAGUGGUGAGGAAGGUCAGUAAGUUAAUAGCUUGCUGAAUUGACGUUAGCCACAGAAGAAGCACCGGCUAACUCCGUGCCAGCAGCCGCGGUAAUAC
rnacentral:rRNA from 1 species